rnacentral:rRNA from 1 species
AUGAACGCUAGCUACAGGCUUAACACAUGCAAGUCGAGGGGCAGCAUGGUCUUAGCUUGCUAAGGCCGAUGGCGACCGGCGCACGGGUGAGUAACACGUAUCCAACCUGCCGUCUACUCUUGGACAGCCUUCUGAAAGGAAGAUUAAUACAAGAUGGCAUCAUGAGUCCGCAUGAUAGCACCAUUAAAGAUUUAUUGGUAAACCGAUGGGGAUGCGUUCCAUUAGGUAGUAGGCGGGGUAACGGCCCACCUAGCCGACGAUGGAUAGGGGUUCUGAGAGGAAGGUCCCCCACAUUGGAACUGAGACACGGUCCAAACUCCUACGGGAGGCAGCAGUGAGGAAUAUUGGUCAAUGGACGAGAGUCUGAACCAGCCAAGUAGCGUGAAGGAUGAAGGUCCUACGGAUUGUAAACUUCUUUUAUAAGGGAAUAAACCCUCCCACGUGUGGGAGCUUGUAUGUACCUUAUGAAUAAGCAUCGGCUAACUCCGUG